CAAAAUGUCUCGAAAGAAGUUCAGGCCUUGCCCCUCCUGCCAAGCACCUAACCAGGUGAGCCGCAAAACCUGCAGCUCUUGUUUCGCAGCCAUCUCCCAAAAAAGAAAGUAGCGGCCAAAAAAGUGACCCUGGACAGGAAGUGGGGGGAAAGGGUCCUAAAAAACAGAAAUGCAGGAAGAGUGGUGGACUCUGCCCAUAUUGCAGU